ensembl:lincRNA
CGGGGGCUGACGUCACCGCCGGGAGGAGGGGCGGCCCGUGCCGAGGCGACUGGAGAGCGGGAUGCUCGGGCCUCGCUGGCGCAGGCGCUCCCUCGCCGCCGGGCCGGCGCAGCGCGGCGGCGACCGGAUUCAGCCCGCGUGAGCUGAGCGCGGCAAUUCUUAAUUUAGCGGAGGGCGGAAGGUAUCUUUAGACCUUAGCGCGUCCAUCUCUGGGUUCAUUCGUCAGAACCGCCCGCACGCCGUCCGCGCUUUCCUCUGAUGAACCAGACAAAGGCAAGAAAGGGGGAAACAGGCUUGAACAACUACGCACUUGCAGAGGACAAAACUGCAGCUGACUUUCUUUUAUCGGAGCCUGGAAAUUACAGCCUUAUGUGUAUAACCGAACUUUGCUGAAGCACUGAACACUGAUUAAUGCAAUUAAAUGAAUACAGGAAAUUUGGUAAAGUUGCUGCUGCUGCUGCUAAGUCACUUCAGUCGUGUCCGACUCUGUGCAACUCCAGAGAUGGCAGCCCACCAGGCUCCCCCGUCCCUGGGAUUCUCCAGGCAAGAGUACUGGAGUGGGUUGCCAUUUCCUUCUCCAAUGCAUGAAAGUGAAAAGUGAAAGUGAAGUUGCUCAGUCGUGUCCGACUCCUAGCGACACCAUGGACUGCAGCCCACCAGGCUCCCCCGUCCCUGGGAUUUUCCAGGCAAGAGUACUGGAGUGAGUUGUUGGUAAAGUUACAUCACAGUAUAAAUAAAACACUUACAUUAGUGAAGUCUUUGUACAGUUGAUCAAGACGUAUAUGGCACAAGUAGGAAACUAAUAUGUAUAUUCUAAGCACUUUAAGGGAGGAUUGUAACACAUUUACAAUCAGGAAUAGCAAGUACUUUAUUCAUCUUACCAUUUUAAACAGACUGAUAUUGAAGUUUGUGAAAAUGCCAUCUCUCUAACAUCUAUGAAAAUCCAUAACAGUAGCUCACGAGCUCUGUUCGGCAGAGUAAUAACAGUUUCAAUUACUUGCAUUUAAAUGUCAAAUGUCAAGUCUGAACAGUGAAACUGUUAAAAAAUACAUAUCAUAAGCAUUUCUUUCUUAUCAUUGUUAUGAUGUAUGCAAAUAUACCACAGCAAUUCUCUUUAUAGAGCUAACACUAUUUCUUCCUCCUGAUUAAUAACAUUUUUCAGAGUGAAAGAUGCUGAAAUAAACUCUAUACUUAAAUGCAUUUUUUUUUUCUGGGAUUGGUACAAAGACGAAUUUCAGAUGUGGUGGUGGAUUUGUUUAUUGAUUUGGCAUUUCUUUUUCUAAGCAUAUAAAUAAGUUGAAAAGUGUUCAUUUUGUUGAUCUUGGGAGAGGAAACUUAAGAUUAUGAAAACCAUUCAGCCUACAAACAAAUUUCCUGAAGUGACACCCAUUAUGUCAUAGAAUUGACAUGUCUCAUGGCUCAAAAAAUAAUUAUGUGAAAAGAAAUCAUAUGAAUAUCUUACUUCAUUUAGGCUAGACCAAAGUUCUAUUAGGCACAAGGAACUUGUGCUGAGGCCAGUUUCACUACCAAUAGAACUACUUAAAUUUGUAUAUUCUGAGCUAAAAAAUGAAGAUACUUCAUUGUUUCAAUAUCAUUAAAAGGCAUAGAAAUGGAAAGAGGUAUGAAAUAGUUGGAAUUUCUGUUCCUUUUUUGUUACUAAUUGUGAAUUUUAGGGUUUCUUAUUGUCACUAAAAGUUUUUAGAAAUUAAGAGCAGAUAAUAUAUGUGGAAUUCUCCAGGCAAAUUAUCACAUUGAUAUGAAUUACUUGUGUGAAUAACAAUGUAAUACAUUCUAAGAAUAUACAUAGUACUAUCAGCUACUUUCUCAAAGAAUAGUAUAUGGCCUUUGAUCAUGAUUGCUACUAAUGGGUUGGACUUGGCAACUUGUAAAUGAACAUUUGUAGAUUGUUAAUGUCCAUAAAACUAUGCCCAAGGACAGAAUAUUUAAUUUUAAGCCUAUCACUAGAUCAUUAGAUUCUCAAACAAAUAGCUUUUAUUACACUUUUAUUCUGAAAAGUGCUACUUCUUCAUUUCUCUAUUUCCUAAUUCAUCUUCUUGUCCUGACUGCUUGGGAAGUUAUGUUAUAAUACCACAUGUAACAUUCUUUUUACUAUAGCUUUGAUUAUAAUUGUAAUUCUGUAAGCUGAGAUUUAUGAACAGUUAUCACUAUACUCUUCAGGAUGAAAAGAUGAAUUAACAAAUGCAUUUUUAAAAGUCAUCAAUAAAAGUUCUAUAAUUGUGAAGUUAAAUUAAAUAUAGUUAAUGACAUUAUACAACUUUUUCUUAUUAUAAAAGAAAGCCCUUGAGCAUCUAUAGUUUUUUUAGCUGAGAUAUUGACUAGUUCUAAAAAAGUCCCUGUUAGUUAUAGAAAGUUUCUAUUGUUAAAGUGUUGUAAGAAUUUGCUGGAAACAUUUUUGUAUGUCAAUGCCAGAUUGACUGAUUAUUUCAAAAAUGGGAUAGGAAUGGUCAAUUCAUUUAGACAUUUAUUCUGAGAUAUAUGCUUUGAUUUUCUGAAGUUCUUAAGGCAUUUUUUGUUUGGUUUUAUUUUUUAACUUUACUAUACUUAAAUAAAUAAGUAAACACAAAUAUAUAUGCAUAUGAUAUAGCCAACAAAUUCAUUUUUCUGAAAUUAACAAUGUCGGUUUCUGUCAUAGAUCAACAUGAAUCAGCCAUAGGUGUACAUUGGUCUUUCUGUGCAUUCCCAUGAAAGAGAAGAUAAAUUAAAACAAACGUGAAUACCAGUGGAAAGUAUGUGUUUCCUUCUCAGGAGAGUUUUUCUGCUCAGGUAACCUAUCUCUCACACAAAACUUCACAAGAGAUGCAAUUUGAUUUGUAUCAAAAGACCUUCAUUUACAUGUUUAAAGUAACUCACCAUACUGUUCA